GAUGAACGCUGGCGGCGUGCCUAAUACAUGCAAGUCGAGCGAACAGAUGAGGAGCUUGCUCCUCUGACGUUAGCGGCGGACGGGUGAGUAACACGUGGAUAACCUACCUAUAAGACUGGGAUAACUUCGGGAAACCGGAGCUAAUACCGGAUAAUAUAUUGAACCGCAUGGUUCAAUAGUGAAAGACGGUGUUGCUGUCACUUAUAGAUGGAUCCGCGCCUCAUUAGCUAGUUGGUAAGGUAACGGCUUACCAAGGCAACGAUGCGUAGACGACCUGCGAACACGAUCGGUCCCGCUCGAGAGUAGGCACGUGCCUCGGGCCUACGGGGUGAAGCAGUAGAAGAAGGGCGACAAUGCGCGAAAGCCUGCGGGAGCACAGUCGCGAGCGUCAGGAAGCGUAGGGACUCUGAAUAAUAUGCUAAACGGGAUAAAGAAAUGGUAAUGGUAUUAGCAACGUAUCGACGGUACCUAUGCAGAAACCCAAGGGUAUCGGAGCG
rnacentral:rRNA from 1 species